AUGCCAGGUGUUAUACCGGUAGCUUCAGGUGGUAUUCAUGUUUGGCAUAUGCCAGCUCUGACCGAAAUCUUUGGGGACGAUUCUGUAUUACAAUUUGGUGGAGGAACUUUAGGACAUCCUUGGGGAAAUGCACCUGGUGCAGCAGCUAAUCGAGUGGCUUUAGAAGCCUGUGUACAAGCUCGUAACGAAGGGCGCGAUCUUGCUCGCAAAGCUUGUGAAGUAUGGAAGGCGAUCAAAUUCGAGUUCGAGACGGUAGAUACUAUUGAUAAGUAG
rnacentral:rRNA from 1 species